rnacentral:rRNA from 1 species
AACCAGCACCUCAAGUGGUCAGGAUGAUUAUUGGGCCUAAAGCAUCCGUAGCCUGUUCUGUAAGUUUUCGGUUAAAUCUAUGCGCUCAACGUAUAGGCUGCCGAAAAUACUGCAGAACUAAGGAGUGGGAGAGGUAGACGGUACUCGGUAGGAAGGGGUAAAAUCCUUUGAUCUAUUGAUGACCACCAGUGGCGAAGGCGGCCUCCUGGACUGACACUGACGCUGAGGUGCGAAAGCGUGGGGAGCAAACAGG